UACAGAGGGUGCAAACGUUGUUCGGAAUCACUGGGCGUAAAGCGUGUGUAGGUGGCUGAUUAAGUCGGAUGUGAAAGCCCCGGGCUCAACCCGGGAAGUGCACUCGAUACUGAUCAGCUUGAGUAUCGGAGAGGUUGGUGGAAUUCUCGGUGUAGAGGUGAAAUUCGUAGAUAUCGAGAGGAACACCGGUGGCGAAGGCGGCCAACUGGACGAAUACUGACACUGAGACACGAAAGCGUGGGGAGCAAACAGG
rnacentral:rRNA from 1 species